AUACGUAGGUGGCAAGCGUUGUCCGGAAUUAUUGGGCGUAAAGCGCGCGCAGGCGGUCCUUUAAGUCUGAUGUGAAAGCCCACGGCUCAACCGUGGAGGGUCAUUGGAAACUGGGGGACUUGAGUGCAGAAGAGGAAAGUGGAAUUCCAAGUGUAGCGGUGAAAUGCGUAGAGAUUUGGAGGAACACCAGUGGCGAAGGCGACUCUCUGGUCUGUAACUGACGCUGAGGCGCGAAAGCGUGGGGAGCAAACAGGAUUAGAUACCCUGGUAGUCCACGCCGUAAACGAUGAGUGCUAAGUGUUAGGGGGUUUCCGCCCCUUAGUGCUGCAGCUAACGCAUUAAGCACUCCGCCUGGGGAGUACGGUCGCAAGACUGAAACUCAAAUGAAUUGACGGGG
rnacentral:rRNA from 1 species